rnacentral:lncRNA from 1 species
UNCGCGAUGGCCGGGAGAACGGUCGACGGCCGCCUCUGCCGUGCCGGAGGGCGCCGACCCUUAAGGUUGGUCUCGGGAAGCAGCGGCGCGUUCGCGAUCUGGGCGGCGUCGUGGACGCCGUCGUCCACGAUCGCCGAACCGGCCGGGGUCAUCGCUGCGCGCUAGCUAGCUAGGUGGGCUUGAUCGAGCUAAUUAAUGGUGGAUGAGAUGCAUGCAUACGGGCAUACGGCGAUGGAGCACUUUCUGCUUUGUGUGUUUCACGGAAAAAGUAUGAACUACUGGACCGAUCGAGAGAGCGAUACGGACGCCGUAGCCGGUCGAUAUUUAUAGACAGCCGAGCCUUGUAUGGAAGAGACAGGUGGUGCAGUGAGGCGAUGAUCUUUUUGAGCCCUUUGUUUCGGAAGGAAAACAUCGCUGCCGGAGGAGGCGGGAAAGAAAAGGAAGGAAACGGCUACCUCUUCCGUCCAGACGUACGCUGGGUAAACGGGGUCUAUGAGACCGGUCAUCAUGCACCGGCCAUCCGAAGCAAUAGGAGGAGGACGGGUCAGCGACCAGGACCCGGUUCAUGUGGGUCAUAGAAUCAACCUAGCGCGUUUGAUGUAAUAAGAGAGGACCUAACGGUCAUGCUCUUUCUCUACAAGGAUGUCAUGCUAUAUAUGCAAUCAGCGCCUAUCUAUCUAGAUGCAUGUUGUCACAAGUGCGAGAACACUGUGGGGUACACCGUGGGGUACGGUUUCCCUUAGGGAGUUUGGUGCUCAUUUCAUGUAAGCAUGCAUGAAGACCUACUUGUUUCGAGAUUUUUUAUUUCAAAAUGAUGCCACAAAGAACGUACUAUUACCAUGAGUCUUGCAGCUCUCUACGCGAUAAGCCCCCCUCCCCCCCCCCUAUGUGUGAUGAAUGUUGUAUUUUUCCAUUGACAAUCUUUUUUUUACUAUUGGGUCAUCUCGCCUCAUCAUAGUCACGUUGGUGCGUUCUUUUGUGCCGAUGUGAGAACGGGGCUUGACUGUGUGAUCGGUCACUCUUUGUGUGGUGAAAUCUUCUUCUUCAGGGCCUUGGUUCGGCGUGACCAUGGCCUUGACUCCUUCCGACCUCAACAAUGACAACCUAGAUCUUGUGAUGGGGAGGCUUAUGGUGAUGGGUCAUUGGCACGGUCAGGAAGAAUAAGACAGUCCACCCUAGGAACUUUGAUGCAAAAAUAAUCGAGGGGUGUAUGUACUGUUGAUUUAUAUAAUAGGCUGAGUGCCUUUCCGAAUUGAAAUGAUUAAGACACUACAAAAAUGGUGUCCAAUAAAUUACAAAAAACAUGGCAAUCACCAUGUCUAGAGUUUUAAUACCAAGAGAUAGUCAUAAAUAUGACAUGCAAAGGUGGAUUUUCUCCUUUAAGUGUGUCUAUAGUCCACUCUUAAGGAUGGUAUGCUAUUUGACCACCAUCAUAUCUGUUGCAUCUUUGUGUUUGAGCCGAACAACAUGAGCAAGAGGCACGAUGUCAAGUUUGUGAGAGCGACCAAGCCAUCACUGGGAGAAGUAAGGAAGAACCUUCUCCUUUCUUCCAACAGAGAAGCGAAGGAAGAAGCACGUGAGGUCAAUGACUCCAAUGCAAAGGUCCAGGAUGAGAGGUAUUGGACGGCCCGAGGCUUUUGACUUUAUAUUUGUACUUGUGUGUCAUGCUCUCCGGGGUAUCUUAUAAUUCAACCUAGAACUCAAGGAUUUAUCUCUGGUUUCGCUUUUUGGUACCCCGAAGAUAAAUCCACAGAUGGUCCACGACUCCAAUCCCUUGGAAUACCGAACUUCUCCUAGACCUCCAACCUUUAAUGCAACAUCAGGUUUGGUUGGGCCACCCCUUCAUGGAGAACCUAUAUAAAUUAUAUUUAGGUCCAGGUUCAGGGUUAGCAAAGCAUUUAGAUUAACCAACAAAAGGAGCUUUGCUCAUCUUAUCCUCCCUUUGAGAUCCAAGGUCUACUUACGAAAAUGUAUCCAAGACCAUCAUUUGAUGGUGAGGUAUGCUACUCAUGAUGGAGUUACUUGAUUUCCCUGAAAAGGAAAGGUGAUGUGGCACAACAACAGAAAGUAUUUUCCACAGUUAAGAAACAAGGUUUAUCAAACCACUAGAAAUCACUAAGCUACCAACGUUGGUAGUACAUGCACACAUACAAAUAAACCCCCCCCCCCCCCCUAACAAAUGUAAGGGGGUGUCGAUGUUCUUGCUAGCUACAAGAUCAAAAUCAAAUAGUGAUAGGGCAAAGCGACAAGAAAGUAAAACGAAGUAAAGAGAAAUUAUUGUAGAAGUUUUUGUCUUGAUGGAAAAUAUACCCGAGGGUCAUAGGUUCGCUAGUGGAAUCUCUCUCGAAAGCAUGUAGUGGCAUGGUAGAAAAAAUUUGUUGGGCAAUUUCUAGAAUAGCGAUAAUUAUAACUAUGAUCAUUCAUUGCCAUAUAGGCAUUAUGUUUGUGAUAAGUAGAUCGUUAAAUUUAUUAAUGUAUACUACUAUUACUCCAACUAAAGAGUGAAGACGGCUAUCUAGGAUGCAUCUCAAACUAUUAUUUUUACAAGAAACGGUGUGACACAAUAAGGAAGAUGACAUAAUGUAGACAGAAGAAAACCUAGCAAUAAAAUUAACCCCAUCGUUUUAUCCUUAGUGGCAACAACAUAAUACAAGCAUUUGUCCUUACUGUCACUAGACAAGAUCACCACAAGAUUGAAUCCACUACUAUGCACCACUCCAUCUUAAGAACUAUACAUCUAUCUUGGCCAAAGAAGACUCAUAGAUCGGAAAGCAUGCAUAGUUAUAAAAUUACAAAUCAAAGAAACUUCAAGAGAUUAAAUAAAUUAAAUAAACAAUCUAAUCAUGAAACUUCAAGAGAUUAAAGAAGACUCAUAGAUCGUAAGGGGGUGUCGAUGUUCUUGCUAGCUACAAGAUUAAAAUCAAAUAGUGAUAGGGCAAAGCGACAAGAAAGUAAAACGAAGUAAAGAGCAAUUAUUGUAGAAGUUUUUGUCUUGAUGGAAAAUAUACGCGAGGGUCAUAGGUUCGAUAGUGGAAUCUCUCUCGAAAGCAUGUAGUGGCAUGGUAGAAAAAAAUAUUGUUGGGCAAUUUCUGGAAUAGCGAUAAUUAUAACUAUGAUCAUUCAUUUCCAUAUAGGCAUUAUGUUUGUGAUAAGUAGACCAUUAAAUUUACUAAUGUCUACUACUAUUACUCCAACUAAAGAGUGAAGACGUCUAUCGAGGAUGCAUCUCAAACUAUUAUGUUUACAAGAAACAGUGUGACACAAUAAGGAAGAUGACAUAAUGUAGACAGAAGAAAACCUAGCAAUAAAAUUAACCCCAUCAUUUUAUCCUUAGUGGCAACAACACAAUACAAGCAUUUGUCCUUACUGUCACUAGACAAGAUCACCACAAGAUUGAAUCCACUACUAUGCACCACUCCAUCUUAAGAACUAUACAUCUAUCUCGGCCAAAGAAGACUCAUAGAUCGGAAAGCAUGCAUAAUUAUAAAAUUACACAUCAAAGAAACUUCAAGAGAUUAAAUAAAUUCAAUAAACAAUCUAAUGAAGAAUUCACAAUUCAUCAGAUCCCAACAAACACACCACAAGAAUUACAUCACAUGGAUCUCGAGAGAUAUCAUUGUAUUGAAGAUUAGGAUAGUUAUGUAUGAUGAGAUUGUUUAUAGAAUAGUGAUAAUUAUAACUAUGAUCAUUCAUCGCUACAUAGGUAUUAUGUUUGUGAUAAGUAGACCAGUAAAUUUACUAACGUCUACUACUAUUACUCAACCCGAAGACCGCUAUCCAGGAUCCAUCCCAAAGUAUUAUGUUUACAAAAAACAGAGUGACACAAUAAGGAAGAUGACAUAAUGUAGGCAGAAGAAAACCAAGCAAUAAAAUUAAUAUCAUCAUUUUAUCCUUAAUGGGAACAACAUAAUACACACAUUUGUCCUUUGUGUCAUUGAACAUGAUGACGACAAGAUUGAAUCCACUACUAUGCACCACUCCCUCUAAAGAACUACCCAUCUAUCUUGGCCAAAGAAGACUCAUAGAUCGAAAAUCAUACUCCCUCCGUCCCAAAAUUCUUGUCUUAGAUUUGUCUAGAUAUGAAUGUAUCUAGUGAGGUUUUAGUAUUUAGAUAGAUCCAUUUCUAGACAAACCUAAGACAAAAAUUUUGGGAUGGAGGGAGUACAUAGCUAUAAUAUUACACAUCAAAAAAACUUCAAGAGAUUCAAAUAAAUUGGAAAACAAUCUAAUCAUGAAUCCACAGUUCAUCGGAUCCCAACAAAUACACCACAAGAAUUAUAUCAAAUGGAUCUCCAAAGAUAUCAUUGUAUUGAAGAUCGAGAGAGGGAGAGAGAGGGGGGAGAGGGGGAGGGANNNNNNNNNNNNNNNNNNNNNNNNNNNNNNNNNNNNNNNNNNNNNNNNNNNNNNNNNNNNNNNNNNNNNNNNNNNNNNNNNNNNNNNNNNNNNNNNNNNNAUAUAUAAUUUAUAUUUAUACCUAUUCUAAUAAUAAAGAGACUAUCGCUUCCGUCGGAAAAUCCACCGAGGUGAUUUUAUAAAAAAGCCCUUACUGUUUAUGACAUUAAACUCGUAAUAUAUAUUAAAUAUUUUUUUAAAUACUCAUAUCUUUUAAACCGUAACUUCAAAUUUAACAUAUUAUACAUGGAAUUUGAUUAGAAAAAUAUGUAGAAUUUAAAUAUGAUAUUAUUUUAUCUGUUAAACGUUUAAUAAAAAUACUAUCUAGGGUGCAAUCUUAAUAAAUAAGUCAUUAUUCGUCCCCCCCCCCCCCCCUUCUUUCAUACCGGUACUCAUCCGGGUUGGGGAUGAACACGUCAACAAAAUCAGGAUUAGAGAUGAAACUGAAGGUCACUUGACUGAUUCUUUGUACGUAUUAAAUCUACAUGCAAGCCGUGUUAAAAUAGAAGACCUGUAAAAUUUUGAACUGCAUUUUUGUAGGAUAAGACCAUCUUUAUUUGUAUCGUAACUAUAAAUUCUCAAAUUAUAGACAUUUUUUAUAAAUUAAGAGCGUGUGCUGUGUGGUAUUUCUUUCUCCCGUUGCAACGCAUGGGCCCUUUUGCUAGUANNNNNNNNNNNNNNNNNNNNNNNNNNNNNNNNNNNNNNNNNNNNNNNNNNNNNNNNNNNNNNNNNNNNNNNNNNNNNNNNNNNNNNNNNNNNNNNNNNNNAAGUCCGAUCAUCACGUGAGUUGAGUAUAGUUUCAGUGGUAAGCAUCCUUAUGCUAAUCAUAUCAUCUAUAUGAUUCAUGAUCGACCUUUCGGUCUCAUGUGUUCCGAGGCCAUGUCUGCACAUGCUAGGCUCGUCAAGCUUAACCCGAGUGUUCCGCGUGCGCAACUGUUUUGCACCCGUUGUAUGUGAACGUUGAGUCUAUCACACCCGAUCAUCACGUGGUGUCUCGAAACGACGAACUGUAGCAACGGUGCACAGUCGGGGAGAACACAAUUUCGUCUUGAAAUUUUAGUGAGAGAUCACCUCAUAAUGCUACCGUCGUUCUAAGCAAAAUAAGGUGCAUAAAAGGAUUAACAUCACAUGCAAUUCAUAAGUGACAUGAUAUGGCCAUCAUCACGUGCUUCUUGAUCUCCAUCACCAAAGCACCGGCACGAUCUUCUUGUCACCGGCGCCACACCAUGAUCUCCAUCAACGUGUUGCCAUCGGGGUUGUCGUGCUACUCAUGCUAUUACUACUAAAGCUACAUCCUAGCAAAAUAGUAAACGCAUCUGCAAGCACACACGUUAGUAUAAAGACAACCCUAUGGCUCCUGCCGGUUGCCGUACCAUCGACGUGCAAGUCGAUAUUUCUAUUACAACAUGAUCAUCUCAUACAUCCAAUAUAUCACAUCACAUCAUUGGCCAUAUCACAUCACAAGCAUACCCUGCAAAAACAAGUUAGACGUCCUCUAAUUUUGUUGUUGCAUGUUUUACGUGGUGACCAUGGGUAUCUAGUAGGAUCGCAUCUUACUUACGCAAACACCACAACGGAGAUAUAUGAGUUGCUAUUUAACCUCAUCCAAGGACCUCCUCGGUCAAAUCCGAUUCAACUAAAGUUGGAGAAACCGACACUUGCCAGUCAUCUUUGAGCAACGGAGUUACUCGUAACGAUGAAACCAGUCUCUCGUAAGCGUACGAGUAAUGUCGGUCCAAGCCGCUUCAAUCCAACAAUACCGCGGAAUCAAGAAAAGACUAAGGAGGGCAGCAAAACGCACAUCACCGCCCACAAAAACUUUUGUGUUCUACUCGAGAAGACAUCUACGCAUGAACCUAGCUCAUGAUGCCACUGUUGGGGAACGUCGCAUGGGAAACAAAAAAUUUCCUACGCGCACGAAGACCUAUCAUGGUGAUGUCCAUCUACGAGAGGGGAUGAGUGAUCUACGUACCCUUGUAGAUCGUACAGCAGAAGUGUUAGUGAACACGGUUGAUGUAGUGGAACGUCCUCACGUCCCUCGAUCCGCCCCGCGAACAAUCCCGCGAUCAGUCCCACGAUCUAGUACCGAACGGACGGCACCUCCGCGUUCAGCACACGUACAACUCGACGAUGAUCUCGGCCUUCUUGAUCCAGCAAGAGAGACGGAGAGGUAGAAGAGUUCUCCGGCAGCGUGACGGCGCUCCGGAGGUUGGUGAUGACCUUGUCUCAGCAGGGCUCCGCCCGAGCUCCGCAGAAACGCGAUCUAGAGGAAAAACCGUGGAGGUAUGUGGUCGGGCUGCCGUGGAAAAGUCGUCUCAAAUCAGCCCUAAAACCUCUGUAUAUAUAGGUGGGAGAGGGGGGACCUUGCCUUGGGGCUCAAGGAGCCCCAAGGGGGUCGGCCGAGUCCAAGGGGGGAGGACUCCCCCCCCAAACCGAGUUGGACUUGGUUUGGUGGGAGGGAGUCCCCCUUCCUUCCCACCUCCUCCUUUUUUUUCCUUUUCUCUUGAUUUUCUCUUCUUGGCGCAUAGAGCCCUUUUGGGCUGUCCCACCAGCCCACUAAGGGCUGGUGUGCCACCCUCAAGGCCUAUGGGCUUCCCCGGGGUGGGUUGCCCCCCCACCGUGAACUCCCGGAACCCAUUCGUCAUUCCCGGUACAUUCCCGGUAACUCCGAAAACCUUCCGGUAAUCAAAUGAGGUCAUCCUAUAUAUCAAUCUUCGUUUCCAGACUAUUCCGGAAACCCUUGUGACGUCCGUGAUCUCAUCCGGGACUCCGAACAACAUUCGGUAACCAACCAUAUAACUCAAAUACGCAUAAAACAACGUCGAACCUUAAGUGUGCAGACCCUGCGGGUUCGAGAACUAUGUAGACAUGACCCGAGAGACUCCUCGGUCAAUAUCCAAUAGCGGGACCUGGAUGCCCAUAUUGGAUCCUACAUAUUCUACGAAGAUCUUAUCGUUUGAACCUCAGUGCCAAGGAUUCAUAUAAUCCCGUAUGUCAUUCCCUUUGUCCUUCGGUAUGUUACUUGCCCGAGAUUCGAUCGUNAAACAACGUCGAACCUUAAGUGUGCAGACCCUGCGGGUUCGAGAACUAUGUAGACAUGACCCGAGAGACUCCUCGGUCAAUAUCCAAUAGCGGGACCUGGAUGCCCAUAUUGGAUCCUACAUAUUCUACGAAGAUCUUAUCGUUUGAACCUCAGUGCCAAGGAUUCAUAUAAUCCCGUAUGUCAUUCCCUUUGUCCUUCGGUAUGUUACUUGCCCGAGAUUCGAUCGUCAGUAUCCGAAUACCUAUUUCAAUCUCGUUUAACGGCAAGUCUCUUUACUCGUUCCGUAAUACAAGAUCCCGCAACUUACACUAAGUUACAUUGCUUGCAAGGCUUGUGUGUGAUGUUGUAUUACCGAGUGGGCCCCGAGAUACCUCCCCGUUCACACGGAGUGACAAAUCCCAGUCUUGAUCCAUACUAACUCAACUAACACCUUCGGAGAUACCUGUAGAGCAUAUUUAUAGUCACCCAGGUUCGUUGCGACGUUUGAUACACACAAAGAAUUCCUCCGGUGUCAGUGAGUUAUAUGAUCUCAUGGUCACAGGAAUAAAUACUUGACACGCAGAAAACAGUAGCAACAAAAUGACACGAUCAACAUGCUACGUCUAUNNNNNNNNNNNNNNNNNNNNNNNNNNNNNNNNNNNNNNNNNNNNNNNNNNNNNNNNNNNNNNNNNNNNNNNNNNNNNNNNNNNNNNNNNNNNNNNNNNNNGGAUCACAUCAUUGGGAGAAUGAUGUGGUGGACAAGACCCAAUCCUAAGCCUAGCACUAGAUCGUAUUGUUCGUAUGCUGAUGCUUUUCUAAUGUCAAGUAUCUUUUCCUUCGACCGUGAGAUUGUGCAACUCCCGGAUACCGUAGGAGUGCUUUGGGUGUAUCAAACGUCACAACGUAAUUGGGUGACUAUAAAGGUUCACUACGGGUACCUCCGAAAGUGUCUGUUGGGUUGGCACGAAUCGAGAUCGGGAUUUGUCACUCCGUGUGACGGAGAGGUAUCUCUGGGCCCACUCGGUAGAACAUCAUCAUGAGCUCAAUGUGACUAAGGAGUUAGUCACACGAUGACGUGCUACGGAACGAGUAAAGAGACUUACCGGUAACGAGAUUGAACAAGGUAUAGGCAUACCGACGAUCGAAUCUCGGGCAAGUUCUAUACCGACAGACAAAGGGAAUCGUAUACGGGAUUGAUUGAAUCCUUGACAUCGUGGUUCAUCCGAUGAGAUCAUCGUGGAGCUAGUGGGAGCCACCAUGGGUAUCCAGACCCCGAUGAUGGUUAUUGGCCAGAGAGGUGUCUCGGUCAUGUCUGCCUGUCUCCCGAACCCGUAGGGUCUACACACUUAAGGUUCGAUGACGCUAGGGUUAUAGGGAAUUGUUAUACGAGAUUACCGAAAGUUGUUCGGAGUCCCGGAUGAGAUCCCGGACGUCACGAGGAGCUCCGGAAUGGUCCGGAGGUAAAGAUUGAUAUAUAGGACGGAUGGUUUCGGACACCGGAAGUGUUUCGGGCAUCACCGGUAACGUACCGGGACCACCG